UCACCCACAGCAACCAUGACUUUGAUCAGCGUCUUCAUCUGCACACUGGCCCUCUGGACUCAAGGAUCCAGAGGUCAGGUGACUGUGACUCAGACUCCUUCAGUGCAAACUGUUGCUCCAGGAAACACCGUCACCAUCAACUGUAGAACCAGUAGCAGUGUGGCUGCUGGUAGUGCUCUACACUGGUACCUGCAGAAACCUGGAGAAGCUCCUAAACUCCUGAUCUACUUGGCUACUAACUUAAAGUCAGGGAUUCCAGAUCGUUUCAGUGGCAGUGGAUCUGAUACUGACUUCACUCUGACCAUCAGUGGAGUCCAGACUGAAGAUACAGGAGAUUACUACUGUCAGAGUUACCAUAGUGGUGGAGUGUUCACACAGGGCGCCGUAUCAAGUCUGACCCUGCGCUCUGGCCCCAACCUCCAAGGAUGGGAAAGACAGACUUUCAGUGUGCUGGUGCAGUGUGACAUCAUACAGAUGUGGUUUAAGAAUGCUCGUCAGAGGGACAGGAAUCCCGUGACGACUCCGAGGAAAGACGAGACCAGUAGGUGGCAGUCGUGUUUCGUGUACAUUGAAAUUGAUCAACAUAACGUGGUGCAAUUGGUGUAUGAUAUCAAACCCGCUGCUAUGUACAGUCCUGUAAACUCGUGCACUCUGAAGCUCGCUGGACCGAACAAGCAGAUGUGCGUCCGCUGA